UGGGGAAUCUUCCGCAAUGGACGAAAGUCUGACGGAGCAACGCCGCGUGAACGAUGAAGGUCUUCGGAUUGUAAAGUUCUGUGAUCCGGGACGAAGGCAUUGAUUGAGAACAUUGAUUGAUGUUGACGGUACCGGAAAAGCAAGCCACGGCUAACUACGUGCCAGCAGCCGCGGUAAUACGUAGGUGGCAAGCGUUGUCCGGAAUUAUUGGGCGUAAAGCGCGCGCAGGCGGCCGUGCAAGUCCAUCUUAAAAGCGUGGGGCUUAACCCCAUGAGGGGAUGGAAACUGCAGGGCUGGAGUGUCGGAGGGGAAAGUGGAAUUCCUAGUGUAGCGGUGAAAUGCGUAGAGAUUAGGAAGAACACCGGUGGCGAAGGCGACUUUCUGGACGACAACUGACGCUGAGGCGCGAAAGCGUGGGGAGC
rnacentral:rRNA from 1 species